CUGCUUUCUGCUGGACUGGAGAGUCCAAACUGUAGACUGGAGACUCUGAGAUUGGGGAGGUGCAUGUUGUCAGAGAUCAGCUGUGCUUCUCUGCCUCAGCUCUGAAGUCCAACCCCUCCCAUCUGAGAGAGGCGUGGAUCUGGGUAACAACAACGCUGAAGGAUUCCGGAGUGAAGCUCCUGUGUGGUUUUCUGGAGAGUCCACACUGUAGACUGGAGACUCUGAGAUUGAGUGACUGCAGUUUGACAAAGAUCAGCUGUGCUUCUCUGGCCUCAGCUCUGAAG